GCGCCACCCUCUUUCGGGCCUUCAUCUAUCAAACAGCAUCGUGUAAUCGCGUCAACGUUUCUUCCCCCGAUUUCUUUUUCCCCUGCGUCUCCUAACGGAUUCGAUCGCUAAUCGUGUACGAAUCUCUUUGUACCAAGCAUUUCCCCUCCGUGACAUUUUUUUCUUUCAUUAAUUAUCUCAGAGCAAGCUUGCAUUGACGAAAGCUAGGGGGUGAGUGUUUUCUCGUGUCGAUUUUAUGAUGGUGGCUGCAAAGCGUGAGGUGGAAAGGAAAUAGCAGAUCUGGAAAGAGGAAGAGAGUGCGUUUAGUCCUGGUUCUGCUGAUUGACUCAUAGGUUGGCUCGAGUCCGCGGGGACAUCCUUGUAUUCCGUUGGAAAAAAGUAUCUCGGCUAGCUUGACGCUGCCUUGCGGGGGAAGAAACAUGAACCGUGCUUUCCGACAACGUCCGAAGAAAUAAUUAAAUAGGAACCUCGUGGAAACAAUUUUAUACGUUAUAUAUCUUGAUGGUUACUUGAAAAUUCCUGGUCUUCAAGUCACAUUACAAUAAAACAAUAUAUUUUAAUCUACAAAUCGUGUACCAGAUUGUGUGGCUGCACGACGUCGAUAAACUCGUUUUGUUCUUGGAAUGCAUUACGGGAAAUAAAAACGAACACAUCACGCUGACUGUUUUUCCAUUUGUCAAGUUCUGCGAUAUCUUUCACGAGAAACAUCAGACACGCUUUUAUCGUCGAUAGAAACUUAUAGUGACCCAGGAAAGGAAAAACUUAAGAAUGUACAAUUCUUUGAAGACAGCUGGACUUCUUCGUGUAGUUAAAUAAUAGAAAUAGCUCCAAAGAUUUCUCUUCUUGCGAAGAACUUUCAAUUAUACAAAAAAGAAGCAUUAUCACUAACCAUUUUAAUAAGUUGCAACAGUAAAUACAGGGUGGAAAUUAUAAAGCGACACAGUUGAAUAUCUCCGAAAAUAUCGAUUAUACAUAAAAAUGUUUCAGAUGAAAGUUGUUCAAUACCGAGGAGUCUCAAUGGACAAACUUUGUGAGCAUAUUCUACAAGUGGAAAUAAGAAGAAAAUGUUAUUUGAAGUUUGCUCAGAAACGUUUUACUACAAAGUUAUAAAAAAUAAAGUUAGAAUUGAUGACGGUGAAUGUUACUUUACUGACUAUGGAAAGGACGAACGUGUUUACCUUAUUUGUCUAAUGAUGUCAUAUUUACUACCUUGAUUCAAUUUACUGUUAGUAUUAACGAUCAAUCGUCAACGAUCAUUCCACGUCGGAACCACCGGUUUUCCUCCGAUUACGGAAGUAUUAACGACCAGUUAGAUCAAGAAUACAUGGUGAAAAUAGUGUCCGAAUAUUAAUACGAGUCACUGUAUUAGACAUCUGCCUUCGCCAAAAAACUCUAAACAUUCGCCAUGAAACCUAUAAAGUAUACAAAUUCAUAAAAUAGAAUUCAUAAAGUAUUUUCGUUAUUCUAAAUGAACUCCCAGCGGGAUGAUAGCACUUCACUGCGUAUCAAUUGGCUAUGCGUCCACAAUUUCGAGAGCGUCGUGGAUACAAUUGAAAUCGAUGAAACGGCAAAAACGUUUCCGAGUAUCGAGAGUAACGCUCGAGGGACAACAGCGAGACAAUGGCGCAACCGGUCUGCUGGAAAUCAGAUCGGCGAAGGAUCGUCCUUCGGCGAAUACUUAUUAACUCGGUUUCGCAAUCUGUAUUAUCCCGAUUUAUAUCCAGGACGAAUUACAAAUCCAACGGGCAAGGGAUAAGCAAGUAAAGAAACUACGGCCGGGACAUCGGGUGUCCUUCUUCAAACGGAUUAAGCACAGGACCAUUCAGCCUCUUCCUCCACCCUCCUCCUCCCCGCUAAUCCUCUCGACGAUGUCAAAUCCCGCGUAAUUUCCGAGCGAGCCAAUGAAAAAACACAAUCGAAAAAAGCCCUAGUUCCGUGAAACAAAUUCACGGAUUAAGUUGUCGACGGGCCGAUGUCGAUUUUUCAUUGGAACGCGAUUAAUUAAUCAUUGUCGGCGAAGAGACAUCAUCGUGAUAGCUAAAAAAAAAAAAAAAAAAAUGAAUCGGACAAAGAGGAUGUAUUCUUUGCCUUCUGUUGUUCCAUCCAUUCGGUGACUCGUUCCAUGGCAUUCAUCGAAUUUUCACCCUUCAACUAUAAAAAGUUCCUUACAUUUUUGUAGUCGAUUGAUGGCCUGAUCAAUUGGAUCGCUUAACGACUAGAUUUUAAUAAAUGGUUUAUUAAAACUUCAUUCUACUUGAUAUUCAUCAACUAAAACUUUCCUUUUCCAACUAUACGUAGUGUUUUAUGUUAUGAAAUUGCUUUUGCAGCUCACAUUUAAGAUUGAUCAUCGUUUUUCACUUUAAAAAUCACAUCAAAGCGCAAAUCUAAUUUUUUAACCGACUUCGAAAAAGAGGAGGUUGCUCAAUUCGACAAGUAUAUUUUUCUUUUUUUUUUGAAGUCUGUUCACCGAGUACGCCGAAAUAGCUUAUGGUAAUUUUGAAUGUAGGUAAUUUUUAAUUUUGAGCCACCUCCGAAAACGUUGCAUUGUAUUUAAUAUGCUGUAUUUAAUAAUUUAAUGAAAAUCAUCAAGAGUUGAUGAGCAAUAACGCAAUUCAAAUAGAAAUUAUUUCAUACUUUUCACUGCAUUUUAUCAUACUUUUAAGUACUUAUAUCUAGAGCUAGUAAGUAUUAAUAUAAAUCAACUAGAAAUUAUUUCAUACUUUUUAGUGCAGUUUUAAUAUUUUUCGAAGUCGGUUAUGUUUUUCUUUUUUAACGUGAACUAACUAGUUGGUAAAAUGAAUUAUAUAUCAUAUAUUAUUGAAGGAAAGAGCUUGCAAAGAAGAAUAAUAAUCUAAUUCUCAAAAGAAAUACUCAACAUUUUCGAAUUGCUACAGUGAUUUUCCGUAUAAUAAAUUGUAUAUAACAUAUAAUCUAUCAAAGUUGUUUGCAGAAUAUAAUCAAGACAUGCAACUUCUGUUUUUAGCUAACCAUACAGAAUAUGACACAUAUUAAACAGAAAACGAUAUAAAAAAUCUAUGAAACAUGUUAAACAAAUGCAUUCAAACGACACAUAUUCAAUACAUUUGAACACAAAAAUAAUAUAAAGUGUCCGAACCUUAACUCACCAUUAAACGAAUAAGCAGAAUAAAUAUAGUUUAAUGAAUAUUAUCAAAAUAUACAUAAUUGUACAGCAAAUACUAUUACAUAUGGCUAUCCAUAAGUCUAAUCGAGUUAAAUAGUAUUUUUAAAUAGUUAACACAGCAACGAUUUAAAUGACCAAAAUUGAAGCUGCGUCAAUUAACGACGAGCACAUAUUCGUGAAGUUAAUUAUUUAAGUGUUUCAGAGGUAAAUUGAAGAGGCAUGACGGAUGGAAGUGCGUGGUCAAGUACGGAAAUAAGCAAACAGAAUUAUUUGGGACAACUACCCGUAAGUUUGCUCCGUAGCUAGUUUAAAUAGACGAUUCGAGGAAAUGUUGCCAACUGCGGGACCGUGUAAAUGGAAUUAUUUAUGAGUACAGGUGAAAUG